ensembl:snoRNA SNORA72 Small nucleolar RNA SNORA72
CCGUGAAUAUUCUUGCUGUUCUGAUUUUGUAAUAAUUGGGGCAGGAUAAACAUUCACUGUAUUAAGACCAUGCAUGUGUCCCCAGACCUCAUUCUUCCCCUAGGUCUGGUUUUAUCAAUGCUGUUGAUAAAC